CCUACGGGUGGCAGCAGUCGAGAAUCAUUCACAAUGGAGGAAACCCUGAUGGUGCGACGCCGCGUGGGGGAAGGAAGGUCUUCGGAUUGUAAACCCCUGUCAUGUGGGAGCAAAUUAGAAAGAUAGUACCACAAGAGGAAGAGACGACUAACUCUGUGCCAGAAGCCGCGGUAAUACAGAGGUCUCAAGCGUUUUUCGGAGUCACUGGGCGUAAGGCGUGCGCAGGCUGUUUCGUAAGUCGUGUGUGAAAGGCGCGGGCUCAACCCGAGGACGGCACAUGAUACUGCGAGACUAGAGUGAUGGAGGGGGAAGCGGAACUCUCGGUGUAGCAGUGAAAUGCGUAGAUAUAGAGAGGAACACUCGUGGCGAAGGCGGGUUCCUGGACAUCAACUGACGCUGAGGCACGAAGGCCAGGGGAGCGAAAGGGAUUAGAUACCCCAGUAGUC
rnacentral:rRNA from 1 species